rnacentral:lncRNA from 1 species
ACCUAUUCCAUCAAAUGUAUUCCGUACAAAUUGAUCAACUAAGCGGAGAUUCAAUCACAAUUGGGCAACUAAGUGUAUACCCAUUGCAAGAAUACAACCAGAUUUAAUAGGAUGCCAAGCCAGAGCAGCAGAAAGACAAUUACAGUCCAAAAAUCUCAAAGAAACAAUGUAAUUUUGCUAAUGACCAACCAAGCACACUUAAGCUAACAUUAAAACUAAAUUAACACAACUAAUCAGAGUUGGAAACAUUGAAGUAAAAGUGGAAAAAAUUAAGUCUAAACGGGCCUAAAGUGAAGUUGAACAGUCCUAACAGUGAAGUGUGUUAAGAUCCGAACAGUACAAAACAGUUAAGCUGGAAUGAGGGAGAAGGUAGGGACUAAGAGUUGGAAACCGAAUGGCGUUUUUAGUUAGGCCGAACGAUUUAAGGCAAGUGUGAGAAGAGGAGAUAUGCAGGAAGAUUAAGAUGUCGAACGAUACAAGUAAAUAAAAGUCGAACGGUAUGAAGACAAGCAAGCAAAUGGAAAUGAGAAUGGAAAACUGAUCAAGUUAAUACAGAAGUUGGUCAAACGAUAUUACAAAUCAGAAGAAUGAACAAGAACAAGUCGAACGGUCUCUGACAAUGAAGCGUGUUAGAGACCGAACGAUAUUAUUAGCAAAACCAAACGGUAUUAUAGUAAAUGUAGAAACUCAGAAAACGAAAGUGAAUGUAGAAACGAAAUGCACACCAGAAAAUGCAAAUAAAAACACAAACAGAAAAGGAAGUGAAAACGCAAAGACAAUUCUGAAACAUAAAUGGCAAACUUUAAAAUGGAACUGGAAAUGAAAUUGAAAGCAAGAAACGAAAUUGAAAUUGCAAUUGAAAACAUAAAUUAUUCGUUACAAAGAAAGGGAAAAAGAAUAAAACCUAAAACUCCCCAAGGGGGGAAAAGAAGAAGACCUCAAAAGCUAAAACCAAAGAAGAGAACGUGAAUGAGGGUAGGGAGAGAGGAAUGAAAUAUGAUUUUAGGGUAUAUAAACCCCAAAUUACAAUUUUGCCCUUCAAACGGGCUUCUACAAAAGAUGGCAAAAAAUGAUCCAAAGUUAACCUAAAAACAAAAUUAAAAGGAAAUGUUUAUGUUCAAAACAAUAAAUGAUGUGGCAGCUCUCUUUACGUCCCAAUAAUAAUUCCAAAAUUGUCCUACAAAUAAUAAUUGGAAUAAUUAGGCACAAAUAAUUCAAAUUAAUUAAAAUAAGAAUUAAGAGUCAAAUUAAGCUCAAAUAGUGAAAAUGAGACAAUAAUUGAGAAUUAAACACAAUUCACCAACACAAUUUGGUGCGGAAAACUAAGUGAAUAGUACAAAAUAUUGAUUCAUCAGUUAGCAUAAAUGAAGUGCACCAAAUUCCGUGCAACUCACC